rnacentral:rRNA from 1 species
UACGUAGGGUGCAAGCGUUGUCCGGAAUUAUUGGGCGUAAAGAGCUUGUAGGCGGUUUGUCGCGUCUGCUGUGAAAUUUCGGGGCUCAACCCCGAACUUGCAGUGGGUACGGGCAGACUAGAGUGUGGUAGGGGAGACUGAAUUCCUGGUGUAGCGGUGAAAUGCGCAGAUAUCAGGAGGAACACCGAUGGCGAAGGCAGGUCUCUGGGCCAUAACUGACGCUGAGAAGCGAAAGCAUGGGGAGCGAACAGG